UGGGGAAUUUUGGACAAUGGGGGCAACCCUGAUCCAGCAAUGCCGCGUGUGUGAAGAAGGCCUUCGGGUUGUAAAGCACUUUUGUCAGGGAAGAAAAGGUCGUGGCUAAUAUCCACGACUGCUGACGGUACCUGAAGAAUAAGCACCGGCUAACUACGUG
rnacentral:rRNA from 1 species